GGCAAUUGGGAAUGGAUAUCUGGAUCAAACUAGGUGUUCUCACUUUCAAUAUGGUUGUCCAACAGAAAAUUUCAGAGGAACUGAUAUCUUCAAAUUUUCAGCGUGCACAGAAAUAAACACAGAGCAACGGUGUUUCUACGCAGAAACCUCUUGUCGAAGAUCAUUGACAACAGAGACCAGCCAUGAAAUUGAAGAAUCUGGUAAAGUAGAAUUGGUAAUUGGAGGUACCCUCAGCCAAC